UACGAAGGGGGCUAGCGUUGUUCGGAAUUACUGGGCGUAAAGCGCACGUAGGCGGAUAUUUAAGUCAGGGGUGAAAUCUCAGAGCUCAACUCUGGAACUGCCUUUGAUACUGGGUAUCUUGAGUAUGGAAGAGGUAAGUGGAAUUGCGAGUGUAGAGGUGAAAUUCGUAGAUAUUCGCAGGAACACCAGUGGCGAAGGCGGCUUACUGGUCCAUUACUGACGCUGAGGUGCGAAAGCGUGGGGAGCAAACAGG
rnacentral:rRNA from 1 species